CUCGGACGCGGACUCGGACGCGGACUCGGACUCCGAUUCGGAACGAUCCACUGGACCGUCCGUCGCGUCGCGUCGUCGACUGCCUUUGUUUAAUUUAUUUGAUUGUUCUUUUUUUUUUGUUUGCCUACCGAAGAUCUCUGUCCGUCCUCGUCUUGUACAAACAUAUUUGAUGGUUAGAUAAGACAUUUUCGAACUUGCGUACGUUGGAACCCAGGAACAGGACUCUACCUUUCGGAUUGUUCACAGCUCCCAGAGCAUCUUAAGACCUGAAGGAUGCCUGUCUCUGAAGAUCCACAAUCCCCGAUUGACGUCUCAGAGACAAAUGGGACCAUUAAAAACUGAGAGAAUUGAGACAUUCAAAAGUAAAAAUGGCACAUUAAAGCAUCCGAUAGAAGCGUGGCACGUAGACAUGCGAUCGGGAGGAUCCUACCAAUGAAAAUUAUCCGUAGGAAUUUAAGUAGGAAUUUUCCCGUGCAAUCGCUCCAUUGUCUAGAAUGUGAGUCAAUACUACAUCGUGUGCGAAUGCACAGAGAGCUCUGCAGUCCCGGAUGUUUUUUCCGAUCACGAGAAGGCGUGGAUCGCCUACGCUUGCAAGGAACAGCAAGGAUAAUGCACUUUAGGAAAUGCUUUAUGUUAUUAUUAUGCAUACAUAUAUAAGAUUAUUGUAACACAUACUCACAUGCCAGAACGUACCUAUGAACUUACAUAAUUAAACAUAUAAAUAGUUACAUCAUUAAAUAAUAUAUUUGUAAAAAAUAAAUGAAACUGGCAUAUAAAUAAAGUAUUCA